GCCCACCUUAUCGAGCAACCCGAAGUCGAGAAGCCGACAGUGUCCGACUAGAGGAGCAAGAGUAGAGGAGGGGCCUCUUCCACACGAUGUCCUUGCAUGGUGGAUAAGGCCUGUCCGAAUCGAAGAAGAGACCUCCAUUUCCAAAUUAUCAGUUCCAACACCCCAAGAACUGCUAAACCAGGAACCAAAUGCUUCAGUGACUCUGAGGGACCGGAACCAUGAAGGGACAGGAGACCAUCAGUAAGGCACCGACAGUAAAGUCCCUUGAGAUACCUACCUUCAAUAUAACUACUUCCUAG
rnacentral:misc_RNA from 1 species